rnacentral:rRNA from 1 species
UACGUAGGGUGCAAGCGUUGUCCGGAAUUAUUGGGCGUAAAGGGCGCGUAGGCGGUCGUGACAAGUCACUUGUGAAAUCUCCGGGCUUAACUCGGAACGGUCAAGUGAUACUGUCGAACUAGAGUACAGAAGGGGCAACUGGAAUUCUCGGUGUAGCGGUGAAAUGCGUAGAUAUCGAGAGGAACACCUGCGGCGAAGGCGGGUUGCUGGGCUGAUACUGACGCUGAGGCGCGAAAGCCAGGGGAGCGAACGGG